AACGAACGCUGGCGGCAGGCUUAACACAUGCAAGUCGAACGCCCCGCAAGGGGAGUGGCAGACGGGUGAGUAACGCGUGGGAAUCUACCUAGUUCUACGGAACAACACAGGGAAACUUGUGCUAAUACCGUAUACGCCUUACGGGGCAAAGAUUUAUCGGAAUUAGAUGAGCCUGCGUAAGAUUAGCUAGUUGGUGGGGUAAUGGCCUACCAAGGCGACGAUCUUUAGCUGGUCUGAGAGGAUGAUCAGCCACACUGGGACUGAGACACGGCCCAGACUCCUACGGGAGGCAGCAGUGGGGAAUAUUGGACAAUGGGCGAAAGCCUGAUCCAGCCAUGCCGCGUGAGUGAUGAAGGCCUUAGGGUUGUAAAGCUCUUUCAGUAGGGAAGAUAAUGACGGUACCUACAGAAGAAGCCCCGGCUAACUUCGUGCCAGCCGCCGCCGUAAUAC
rnacentral:rRNA from 1 species